ACUCCAAUGUUUGGUAUAACACAAUAUUAUAAAAUAGAAUUAAUUCUAUAUAUCUGAUACAACUAUCUACCUAUAUUAUACAGAUAUGCAAAAUUAACAAGACAGUGUAGGUACACCUACAAACACUGUUUUCUCCUGUUUUGAUUAACUACACAUCAGAAAUGAAAAAAUGUACAAAAGCUUUCACUGAGGUGGUAUCUUUUCAAAAAGUGCCUUUGUACAUAUUUCCACCUACAGUGCAAAUAUUAGUAUCUAAAGGAAACAACAAGUGUACGUUUUGAAAUAAAUAGAUUUCAAAUAAAUGCAGGUCAUCUGAUUCCAAUAUAAUUUGCACAGGAAACAAUCACCGUUCUGAAAUUAUAAAGACGUCAAACACUUGACUUGAAGCUAAAAUGGCAAAUGGAGGUCAGGGAUUGAGUGUGUAUACAGUGUAUACAGUAGCUAAAUAACAACUUCAUAUAAUCAAACUAAUUCAUUAAACUGAAAGUUAUGGUCAUUAAUUAGCAUUUAUUCAUCAGUCCUCCCCUCAGAAAGCCCCCAGAAAGAACUAAAUCAUGACUGCUGGCUGUGUUGGCUGAUACUGCAAACUGUGUGUCCUGCAUGUUCUCUUCUCUCUGGCAUUUUGGCUUUUGUUUGUGGCUACAGAUGCUGCCACAAGACAGAGCUGAAGGAGUCUGAAGGUCAUCAAAGCAGUUCUGAGACGCAAAGACAGCUGAGCCAAGAACAGGAUGUCCAUAUAGAAGUUUGCUAUGCAUCACUGAACAUCCCCAAACGAGGAUGCAAACGGACAAAGAGCAGCCGAUUACAAAGCUCUGACUUCAGUGUCUAUGAUGGCAUAAGAAUGCACUCUUAGGUAAAGGAUUACGUACAUUCAGUUGGUCAAAUACCAAAGUUAAUCCAAGGUUUUUCAAACAUGGUUACAUACUUAAUAAAUAUACAAGAAAUAAAAAUGAUACAAAAUACUGAUACUGAUAUGUACAAAGCAUCUAUCUAUCUAUGAUUUUCUUUGUAGAAUAUAAACUGGGUUCAAAUUAAAAAGACAACAAUGUAAAUGUUAUCCAUAUUACAUGAUCUGGUGACUGGCAUCUAAUGUGUGGGAAUAUCUCAAACACACAGCUAACUUCAGUCCCAAGGAAUUUGUACAGUUUCUCUGUUUUUGAAACAGUCUUAACAUUCUCUAAACUGUGAGUGCAAAUUUCACAACUGUUUGCUGGAACUUCAGAACUUUAUUGCAUGUCUGCAAAAUGUAGUUACUCACUCAAAACAUUUCAUUUAUGCUUCAAAACCUAGUUAUUGUUUCAGUUAUUUGGCAAAGGACAUACUGGUACCACAGCUCCUUCACGCUUCCUCUCAAAUGGAACCUUGUAGAGUUGUUUCAUAGUCAUUUGAUGUCUUUUCAAAACUCUGUAUAUGGUGGAAAUGCUGACAGAAUUUUAUAUUUGUGAAGACAUUGUCAUUUAUGAUUGCACUUUGGAUCUCUCUUAGCCUGAUGGAAUGGUUGGCUAUGACCAGGUUGCAAUUUUCUUGUUCUUGCCGAUGGUUAAAUACGGCUGCUCUGCCACUAGCGUGAGGUUGUUGUGCGGUCCUAUAGAAUGUAAAAAUAAACUUGCAUUUUCCUUU